ACGGCCACACCUAGGCGAAAACACCAGUUCCCGUCCGAUCACUGCAGUUAAGCGUCUGAGGGUCUCGUUAGUACUAUGGUUGGAGACAACAUGGGAAUCCGGGGUGCUGUAUGCU
rnacentral:rRNA from 1 species